rnacentral:tRNA from 1 species
GGGGUUGUGGCUCAGUGGUAGAGCACCUGCCUUGCAUGUGAGAGGCACUGGGUUCAAUUCUCAGCACCA